GAGGAAAGUCCGGACUCAAUAUAGAAAUUUUUUGCUGAAUAAGAUUCAGUGUAAGUAAUUACGAGGAAAGUGCCACAGAAAUAAACCGCUUAGUAUUAUUUAUUUAUUAAGUAAGGUUGCAAAGGUGUGGUAAAAGCACACCAGAAAUAUGAUAAUCAUAUUUGCUAGGUAAACCCCAUGAAUGAGCAAAGUUGUCACUUUAAUAUUAAUCAUCUAUAUUUGUGUACUUAUAUAUACUGCAUGAAGUUUAAUAAUAACUAUAGAUAAAUAACUACCCUUUUAAUAUUUUAGAAUAUUGAAAAGAACAAAAUCCGGCUUAU
rnacentral:RNase_P_RNA from 1 species